rnacentral:rRNA from 1 species
GAUCCUGGCUCAGGACGAACGCUGGCGGCGCGCCUAACACAUGCAAGUCGAACGAGCGAGAGAGAGCUUGCUUUCUCGAGCGAGUGGCGGACGGGUGAGUAACGCGUGAGGAACCUGCCUCAAAGAGGGGGACAACAGUUGGAAACGACUGCUAAUACCGCAUAAGCCCACGGGUCGGCAUCGGCCAGAGGGAAAAGGAGUAAUCCGCUUUGAGAUGGCCUCGCGUCCGAUUAGCUAGUUGG